rnacentral:rRNA from 1 species
UGCAAGUCGAGCGGAACGGCACUAACAAUCCUUCGGAUGAUUUAUUGGACGUCGAGCGGCGGACGGGUGAGUAAUGCUUAGGAAUUUGCCCAGUCGAGGGGGAUAACCAUUGGAAACGAUAGCUAAUACCGCAUACGCCCUACGGGGGAAAAGAGGGGACCUUCGGGCCUUCUGCGAUUGGAUAAGCCUAAGUGAGAUUAGCUAGUUGGUGAGGUAAUGGCUCACCAAGGCGACGAUCUCUAGCUGGUCUGAGAGGAUGAUCAGCCACACUGGAACUGAGACACGGUCCAGACUCCUACGGGAGGCAGCAGUGGGGAAUAUUGCACAAUGGGCGCAAGCCUGAUGCAGCCAUGCCGCGUGUGUGAAGAAGGCCUUCGGGUUGUAAAGCACUUUCAGUCGUGAGGAAGGUAGUUGCGUUAAUAGCGCAAUUAUUUGACGUUAGCGACAGAAGAAGCACCGGCUAACUCCGUGCCAGCAGCCGCGGUAAUACGGAGGGUGCGAGCGUUAAUCGGAAUUACUGGGCGUAAAGCGCAUGCAGGUGGUUUGUUAAGUCAGAUGUGAAAGCCCCAGGCUCAACCUGGGAAGGUCAUUUGAAACUGGCAAACUAGAGUACUGUAGAGGGGGGUAGAAUUUCAGGUGUAGCGGUGAAAUGCGUAGAGAUCUGAAGGAAUACCAGUGGCGAAGGCGGCCCCCUGGACAGAUACUGACACUCAGAUGCGAAAGCGUGGGGAG